rnacentral:rRNA from 1 species
CCUACGGGAGGCAGCAGUGGGGAAUAUUGCACAAUGGGGGAAACCCUGAUGCAGCGACGCCGCGUGAGUGAAGAAGUAAUUCGUUAUGUAAAGCUCUAUCAGCAGGGAAGAAAAUGACGGUACCUGAGUAAGAAGCCCCGGCUAACUACGUGCCAGCAGCCGCGGUAAUACGUAGGGGGCAAGCGUUAUCCGGAUUUACUGGGUGUAAAGGGAGCGUAGACGGCAGUGCAAGUCUGGAGUGAAAGGCGGGGGCUCAACCUGGGAACUGCUUUGGAAACUGUAUGGCUGGAGUGCUGGAGAGGUAAGCGGAAUUCCUAGUGUAGCGGUGAAAUGCGUAGAUAUUAGGAGGAACACCAGUGGCGAAGGCGGCUUACUGGACAGUAACUGACGUUGAGGCUCGAAAGCGUGGGGAGCAAACAGGAUUAGAUACCCUUGUAGUC